UACAGAGGGUGCAAGCGGUGGUCGGGAUUAUUGGGCGUAAAGCGCGUGUAGGCGGCUUUGCAAGUCGGGUGUGAAAGCCCUCAGCUCAACUGAGGAAGUGCGCCCGAAACUGCAGAGCUUGAGUGCCGGAGAGGGUGGCGGAAUUCCCCAAGUAGAGGUGAAAUUCGUAGAUAUGGGGAGGAACACCGGUGGCGAAGGCGGCCACCUGGACGGUAACUGACGCUGAGACGCGAAAGCGUGGGGAGCAAACAGG
rnacentral:rRNA from 1 species